GUUCAGGAAACUGCAGGGAGGAAGAAAGGCUUCUGCAGGGAGCCCCCAGAGACAGGCUGGUCUACAGCCAGGAACCUGAGGCUCCGGCCAGGUCUUCUGAGCAUGAAGAUAUAAACCAUACCCAGCACUACUGCCUCCUACCCUGAAAUCCCAACCACCUGCAGACUGGACCAGCAGGCCAAUGUUCUGUUUGAAGUGCUAGAAGCUAAUACAACAUCUGCAGAUUCUGGCAGAAUAUUCAAAUGGGAGAUGCAACCACAAGGUGGCUAAUGAGGCUUUUUGGCUUUUUCAUUUUCUCUUGAAUGUCCAGUCUUCCCAAACCGGACAGACAGAACCCGGUACUGUUCCAUGAACAGACAGACACCUCUGUAGCUCAGUCCUGCUGUUAAUCAAUUUUCUCGCUCGUACUGAUCAGCAGAGCUGGCUGGGGUAUAGCACUUGGCAGAAGAGGUUAGUACCAUUAUCCUGAGCUCCCAGAAGGGGGAGCAGAUGAAGAGACUUGCCAAGGUCAGCCCACAUGGCAGUGGCAGAGCCAGGAGGAGAAUGCAGGCCCUUUGAGUCCCAGGCCAGGGUCCUGUCCAGUACCGUGCUGCCGCUCUGCUAUUUGUAUUGCAGUAGCACAAAGGACCCCUGUCGGGGCUCAGGCCUGCCCUGUGUUGCACUGGUACUGCACAGACCCACACUAAAAAGGAGGAAGUGCUCCCAGUCUAGGUCCUGACAAGAGGCAGCAGGAGGAUGAGACAGACACGGAGGACAGGGGCCGGGGAGGAUGAGGAGACGCCGGUAAAGCGAGGGAGCUGUCACGCGUUCAGCAGAGGAGAAAUACUGAGCAAAUGAGGUCAGGAAACGAGCGCUGAGGAUCUGAUCGGGGAAUGCGAGGGACCAUGCUCAGCCCGGGGGAGGGGCUCUGUGUACGGAUCACGGAGCAGGAAUUCAUCCCAAAUGGAGCAGUCUGGGGGCCGACGCGCUGCCCCUCUGCACUUUCUAUGCAGCCCUUCCUGACCACUGGAGCCAAAUACACUGGAUCCAGUUGCCCUCCCUCAGCCCACUCCCCUCCAUGCUGACACAUUUGGAGCCAGUAUAAGAACCUACCCCCUAGUUACGCUGGGCGCCCAGAAGCUGUCUGGGGCCCAACCCAUGCACGGCAGCUCCAGGUGACGUGUGCAGCUC